AUCCUGACAUUCUAUAACUACAUUCAUCAUCCACCCUCUUCGCUCUCCAUUUCCCUCCUGUUCCCCGCAAGCAUACUCCGUACAAAAAAUAGAAAAUGCAAAUUCCGUUUUGUGUGCCGCAGCAGGCCAUUAUUGCCACAGGAAGUCGUCCGGGGCGGGGGGGCUCAGUGCCCACUGGCUGGUCUGGGAGGUCCCGAUGUCAAAAUAAGUGAGCUAGCUAGUUAGUGAUUGGGCGGCAGCUGGACAGAAGAUAUUAGUUGACUAGUUUAUUCAAAUCAAACAUCGAAAAGGGGGGAUCCUCGUCUGCUGCGACGAUGGGUUCUGGCUGAAGAUGUGCGUGCAGGAUGCGGGCACCUGGGUUGGACUCGGGGUAGUUAAGGCCCUGGUCGUUUGCCUUUUUUUUUUAUAGUUACUAGGGAUCUUUUUGUUUUAUUUUGCGUCAUGAAAUCCGUGUGCACAUAGUAAAUAUUUAAAAGAGCAUAUAUCUAUCUAUAUAAUCUGUACUUCUAUAUAUUAUCUGGUGUAUUCGCUACUGCAAACCGGAGGAUAUCAUCAUUCCCCUUACUCUUCUUAAUGUCUCUACCAGCC
rnacentral:sRNA from 2 species